rnacentral:rRNA from 1 species
AGUGAACGCUGGCGGUAGGCCUAACACAUGCAAGUCGAACGGCAGCACAGUAAGAGCUUGCUCUUACGGGUGGCGAGUGGCGGACGGGUGAGGAAUACAUCGGAAUCUACUUUUUCGUGGGGGAUAACGUAGGGAAACUUACGCUAAUACCGCAUACGACCUACGGGUGAAAGCAGGGGAUCUUCGGACCUUGCGCGAUUGAAUGAGCCGAUGUCGGAUUAGCUAGUUGGCGGGGUAAAGGCCCACCAAGGCGACGAUCCGUAGCUGGUCUGAGAGGAUGACCAGCCACACUGGAACUGAGACACGGUCCAGACUCCUACGGGAGGCAGCAGUGGGGAAUAUUGGACAAUGGGCGCAAGCCUGAUCCAGCCAUACCGCGUGGGUGAAGAAGGCCUUCGGGUUGUAAAGCCCCUUUGUUGGGAAAGAAAAGCAGCAGGUUAAUACCCCGCUGUUCUGACGGUACCCAAAGAAUAAGCACCGGCUAACUUCGUG